GACGAACGCUGGCGGCGUGCUUAACACAUGCAAGUCGAACGCUGAAGCUCAGCUUUUGUUGGGUGGAUGAGUGGCGAACGGGUGAGUAACACGUGAGUAACCUGCCUCCUUCUUUGGGAUAACGCCCGGAAACGGGUGCUAAUACUGGAUAUUCACUGGUCUUCGCAUGGGGGUUGGUGGAAAGGGUUUUUCUGGUGGGGGAUGGGCUCGCGGCCUAUCAGCUUGUUGGUGGGGUGAUGGCCUACCAAGGCUUUGACGGGUAGCCGGCCUGAGAGGGUGACCGGUCACAUUGGGACUGAGAUACGGCCCAGACUCCUACGGGAGGCAGGAGUGGGGAAUAUUGCACAAUGGGCGCAAGCCUGAUGCAGCGACGCCGCGUGAGGGAUGGAGGCCUUCGGGUUGUGAACCUCUUUCGCUCAUGGUCAAGCCGCAACAAUGGUUGUGGUGAGGGUAGUGGGUAAAGAAGCGCCGGCUAACUACGUG
rnacentral:rRNA from 1 species